CAGUAGCCGCGGUAAUACGAACCGUGCGAACGUUAUUCGGAAUCACUGGGCUUAAAGCGCGUGUAGGCGGGCCGCCACGUCGGCUGCUGAAAUCCCCCGGCUCAACCGGGGAACGGGCACCGAUACGAGCGGCCUGGAGGGGGGUAGGGGGGACUGGAACUUCCGGUGGAGCGGUGAAAUGCGUUGAGAUCGGAAGGAACGCCCGUGGCGAAAGCGAGUCCCUGGACCCUUUCUGACGCUGAGACGCGAGAGCCAGGGGAGCGAACGGGAUUAGAUACCCCCGUAGUCCCUGUCUCUUAUA
rnacentral:rRNA from 1 species